rnacentral:rRNA from 1 species
AUGCAAAGCACUUUGAAAAGAGAGUUAAAGAGUACCUGAAAUUGCUGAAAAGGAAGCGAAGGAAACCAGUGUCAGCUGCGUCAUACUUCUCCGUCCGCUUGCGGGUGGGGCGCUGUGGCCAGCGUUGUCAGGGUUGGUUGUGCGGUCCGGAUUCGGUUGGCGGGGAGUUGACCCGCCUUCCUUGCGAGCUGCCUGACUGACGUUGACGAAAUGGUUUUCUUUUUCCCGUCUUGAAACACGGACCAAGGAGUCUAACAUAUGUGCGAGUACAGGGGUGGCAAACCUCCGUGCGCAAUGAAAGUGAUAGUGGCUUGCACAGUCCGCCGGCCUUGAUCCUUCGGGAGAGCGGUCUGAGUGUGAGCGCAAAUGUUGGGACCCGAAAGAUGGUGAACUAUGCCUGAAUAGGGUGAAGCCAGGGGAAACUCUGGUGGAGGCUCGUAGCGAUUCUGACGUGCAAAUCGAUCGUCAAAUUUGGGUAUAGGGGCGAAAGACUAAUCGAACCAUACUAGUAGCUGGUUCCCUCCGAAAUUUCCCUCAGGAUAGCUGCGAUCGAACUGUCAAUUUUAUCA